rnacentral:tRNA from 2 species
GGCCGCCUGGCGAAAUGGUAUCGCGUCUGACUACGACGAUUUAGUGGCAUCAGGAGAUUGCAGGUUCGAGCCCUGCGGUGGUCA